UAUCGACAAGUGUUUGCAAACAAACAAAAACAAGGGUAGCCGCGCGAUGGGGGAGCUGUGGCCGUGAAACCAGCCGUGUGUGCGGAGUGAAAGAUUUUAAACGUUAGCGGAUGAUUUUAUAAAGUUUUAAUAGGCCGCAGAGAACAUUGGAUUAUGGCUACUGCUGUAACGCUAUCUGUAGCUGUAUGGGAAUACGUUCGCUUCUCGGGAACAUGGACGGCGUACCCGCCGGACGCCUGCGAAAAGCUUGAACGGGCGAGGAUCAAAUCGGAAAGCAAGGAUGAGACGAAAGUACCGAUUGACAUCUCGUGCAGAGGUGUCAAAGCUCAUUUUGUCGAUGUCGUGAAAAUGCAGCAAGUCUUUGGCGACGAACAGGAUCACUGUAAGCGCAGAUCAUGUGCUGCUUCCCCGGUACGAAGGAAUCUAUAUCCUCUUGACAGCGCCCCGGCGAAAGGUGUCAACUGGGAAUGGCGAACGAACAGCGGAAAGUGGUAUCCUUACAGCGUGCAUCUGUCUUGCCUCAUUGAAAAAGCCAGGGAACACGGGCUGCUCAAGAUUAAUUUGCAAGACCACUAUCCUGAAUGCAUAUACACUGUGGAAUUCACAACCAUGCAUCAAAGGAACAACUUCACAAGUUUCUGCCGUGUCAUUCGAAGAGUUGAAGGAAAAAAUUACCCACUGGCACCUGACGCCAUCACAUGUCCAGGAGUCAGCCUGAAUGUCCCCGAAAGGAAAGCAAACCCAAUGGAAUUGAUGCCCCCUGUAAGCGAUAGCAACUCUUCUGAUGUUACAGUGAUUGCACAAAUUUUUCCAAAAAAACGCAAGGGACGAAGAAGCAACCAUACUGCUUCUUUUGCUGGAAUUCCAUGUACAUCAGAAGGUGCAUCAGACACCAAGAGUCUGAAGACAGAGGGCUGUAAUUCUCUUGAUGGCAUAAAGCUACCCAACAAUUCAUGGACCGAUUCUGUGGAAGAUACUCCUGAACCUGAGGAGUUCUUGGCGAGGCACAUUAUUGAUGUCACGGGAACAAUUCCAGCAGAGGAUUGCAGCAUCUGUUGUGAGCCAUUGGUCGCCUCCUCAUCCUACAACAGCUGUGGCCGGGUGGUGCGCCUUUCCCACUGUACCCAUUAUUUCCAUUAUGCCUGCCUUGCAGCUAUGUAUAAAAGCAAUCCAAAGAAAAGCUACCUGCAGUGUCCUGUGUGCAAGGCCAUAUAUGGAGUGAAACAGGGCAACCAGCCACCAGGUAUCAUGAACUUUCAAGUGCUGCCUUUCACACUCCCUGGCUAUGAGGGCUGUGGCACCAUUCAGAUCACAUACCACAUCCCUUCUGGAGUUCAAGGACCAGAGCACCCACGGCCUGGCAUGCCGUACACUGCGAGAGGAUUCCCUAGGCAUGGAUAUCUGCCCAACAAUGAUCAAGGCCGAAAGGCACUGAAGCUUCUGGUGGAUGCCUGGGACCGGAGGCUCAUAUUCACCAUUGGACAGUCGACCACCACUGGAGAGCAAGACACUGUGACAUGGAACGAGAUUCACCACAAGACUGAGUGCGGGUCCAACCACACAGGGCAUGGUUUUCCGGACCCUUCUUAUCUGGACAACCUCCUUGCUGAGCUUCGAGUGCAUGGGGUCGCUGACUAGAAAGCAUGUGAAUGCAGCAACUCUUUUAUGAUGACACUGUCAGUGAUGCAUCAAUGUGUUCACAGCAUACUGAUCUUGGCCUUGAGCGAGGUGAUCGGCACUUUUGAGCCGGCGUGAAAAGAAGCCAGCAUGCGAGCCCACAGUGUUUCAGCAAGAUCGCAGCUUGAUAAGGAUGCUUUCAUCAUGCUUGCAUGACAGUGAGGCACACAUUCCACAUCACUCAUGGCCGUCUGCUAAGGACAGACCAGCAUACAGCACUUGUCUGCCAAUGUCCUGCUGCAUCGUCCAGAAACAUACUUUUACCAUAAAUCUUAUUUUAGCUAUUGGUUUUUAAUGCUUUUAGACCGUAAUGGCUGUUGCACCUGCAAGAUGUACAUGCAAAAACUGAAGUGAUCUGUUAGGGGUGUUUGCUGCUGUCUUUUAUGGUGAUGCUGUCAUUGAGACAGAAGGUAUAAUUGUGUUCUGAAUUUUUACCUCUCGUCUGCAAUAAAGAGGUGUCGUGGAAAGUGCAA